ACGCUCGACACCUACGGAGGCAGCAGUUGGGAAUAUUGGACAAUGGAGGAAACUCUGAUCCAGUGACGCCGCGUGAAGGAAGAAGGUCUUCGGAUUGUAAACUUAUUUUGUCAGGGAAGAAAAAUGACUGUACCUGAAGAAAAAGCACCGGCUAACUACGUGCCAGUAGCCGCGGUAAUCUGAGCGGGCUGGCAAGGC
rnacentral:rRNA from 1 species